rnacentral:tRNA from 1 species
GGGGUAUUAGCUCAGUUGGGAGAGCAUCUGCCUUACAAGCAGGAGGUCAUAGGUUCAAGUCCUAUAUGCCCCA